CCCUUAGAUGUUCUCGGCCGCACACGCGCUACACUGAAAGAGGCAACGUGUUUGCCUGAUUCGAAAGAAUUGGGUAACCCCCUAAUCUCUUUCGUGCUGGGGAUUGAGGUUUGCAAUUAUCCUUCAUGAACGAGGAAUUCCCAGUAAGUGCGAGUCAUUAUCUCGCGCUGACUACGUACCUGCCCUUUGUACACACCGCCCGUCGCUACUACCGAUUGAAUGAUUUAGUGAGGACUUCGGACUGAGUCCAAUGCGGCUUUCGGGCUGCGUUGGUAUUUCGGAAAGAUGUCCAAACUGUAUCAUUUAGAGGAAGUAAAAGUCGUAACA
rnacentral:rRNA from 1 species